CCAGGUUGAUUCUGCCUGACGUAGACGCUAUUCCCUAAGAUUAACCCAUGCAUGUUAUUGAAGAUAUUUAAUAUCGAAAAAUGGACUGCUCAGUAAUACUUACUUUAUUUUAUGUAUACAGACUAUAACUACGUUAAAGUGUAGAUAAUAUGUAUACAGUAAGAGUAAGACCUAUCAGCUAGUUGUUAAGGUAAUGGCUUAACAAGGCAGUGACGGGUAACGGUAUUACUUUGUAAUAUUCCGGAGAAGGAGCCUGAGAGACGGCUACUAAGUCUAAGGAUUGCAGCAGGGGCGAAACUUGACCUAUGGAUUUAUUCUGAGGCAGUUAUGGGAAGUAAUUUAUUGUUUCAUAUUUUAAAAAUAUAUGAGGUGAUUAAUUGGAGGGCAAAUCAAGUGCCAGCAGCCGCGGUAAUACUUGUUCCAAGAGUGUGUAUGAUGAUUGAUGCAGUUAAAAAGUCCGUAGUUUAUAUUUAAGAAGCAAUAUGAGGUGUACUGUAUAGUUGGGAGAGAGAUGAAAUGUGACGACCCUGACUGGACGAACA
rnacentral:rRNA from 1 species